AUCCAGUUGACGAGUCCCAAAUGGGACGAAACGCUCGUCCUGGAU
rnacentral:hammerhead_ribozyme from 1 species